CACGUAGGGCGCAAGCGUUGUCCGGAAUUAUUGGGCGUAAAGAGCGUGUAGGCGGUUUGGUAGGUCCGCUGUGAAAACUCGAGGCUCAACCUCGAGACGCCGGUGGAAACCAUCAGACUAGAGUCCGGAAGAGGAGAGUGGAAUUCCUGGUGUAGCGGUGAAAUGCGCAGAUAUCAGGAAGAACACCCGUGGCUAAGGCGGCUCUCUAGUACGGUACUGACGCUGAGACGCGAAAGCGUGGGGAGCGAACAGG
rnacentral:rRNA from 1 species